rnacentral:rRNA from 1 species
UAACUGAAGAGUUUGAUCAUGGCUCAGAUUGAACGCUGGCGGCAGGCUUAACACAUGCAAGUCGAGCGGGGGAAGGUAGCUUGCUACUGGACCUAGCGGCGGACGGGUGAGUAAUGCUUAGGAAUCUGCCUAUUAGUGGGGGACAACAUCUCGAAAGGGAUGCUAAUACCGCAUACGUCCUACGGGAGAAAGCAGGGGAUCUUCGGACCUUGCGCUAAUAGAUGAGCCUAAGUCGGAUUAGCUAGUUGGUGGGGUAAAGGCCUACCAAGGCGACGAUCUGUAGCGGGUCUGAGAGGAUGAUCCGCCACACUGGGACUGAGACACGGCCCAGACUCCUACG